GACGAACGCUGGCGGCGUGCUUAACACAUGCAAGUCGAACGGAAAGGCCCUGCUUUUGUGGGGUGCUCGAGUGGCGAACGGGUGAGUAACACGUGAGUAACCUGCCCUUGACUUUGGGAUAACUUCAGGAAACUGGGGCUAAUACCGGAUAGGAGCUCCUGCUGCAUGGUGGGGGAUGGAAAGUUUCGGCGGUUUGGGAUGGACUCGCGGCUUAUCAGCUUGUUGGUGGGGUAGUGGCUUACCAAGGCUUUGACGGGUAGGCGGCCUGAGAGGGUGACCGGCCACAUUGGGACUGAGAUACGGCCCAGACUCCUACGGGAGGCAGCAGUGGGGAAUAUUGCACAAUGGGCGGAAGCCUGAUGCAGCAACGCCGCGUGCGGGAUGACGGCCUUCGGGUUGUAAACCGCUUUCGCCUGUGACGAAGCGUGAGUGACGGUAAUGGGUAAAGAAGCACCGGCUAACUACGUG
rnacentral:rRNA from 1 species